rnacentral:lncRNA from 1 species
AUGUGUCUUUCACUUUAUUGAUACUCUGAUUUGUUGGAAAUCCUUGCUUUUCUCUGCUUGAAAGAUGAUUAUGAUGUUUGAGAGGUUGACUUGAUUGUGACAAAUGCCCUGUGUGAGAAUUUGAGUCACUUUAUGUUCUUUCUUGUGUGAUAUAUCUCUUGAUUGCUUGCAUAUAUGCCUUGGCUUGACUCUUGUUGAUGAUUCUUGAAAGUGAUAAAGGCAGUUUUGUUGUUGAGCCUCUCUAGCCAGAUCUUUGAUCCUUUGAUAGCCCUUUUGAGCCUAUACUUUCCCC